CAGUUACAUUCCAUGCUGCUUUGCUAAGAGUUUUCAUCAUUUUAUACUCUCCCUCCAUUAUAAAAGCUAACGAGAGGAACAGAAAACCCAUCAAGCCAACGUUAGAAGUCAUAAGAUGCUAUUCACCGUGCUGUAAAACUCUGACCUGCUGCCUCUGAGAUGUGAAACCACCUCUGGAUGGAAAUCAGUGGCCAUGUGGGAGCAUGAGCACAUCUUUGCUAUGAGCACUGCAGGAAAGCAGCAGGGAGAAGAUCCUGUCCCACCCAGGGCUCACUGGGAGAGGUAAAGUCACCACAACAGCACCCCACAGUGCUCCCAUCAGCUCCUUGCUUGGGUGUGACUGACCCAGCAGGAACAAAACAAAAAAUAUAUAAUCCAUCAGCAUGAAGAGUAAACCAUUUCGGAGCACAAAACACUCUGCUUCUCACAAUCAACUUAUUUUGAUAACAACUUCCUACAUACACACAUAUAUACAACAUAUUUACUUCAUACUUCUGAGAAGAAGAGGAAUAGUUAAAUCAAGACACCUGCUCAAUCCCAGGAAAGAUCCCAGGGCUGGAAUCGUAUAGGAGAGGAUGAGAGCUGGGGCUGUGCAGCCUGGAGAACAGAAGGCUCCAGGGACAGUCAGUAGCUGCCUUUCAAUUUCUAAAGGGGUUGUAAGAGAGAAGGGGACAGACUCUGUAGCAGGGUCUGUUAUGACAGGACAAG
ensembl:lncRNA